rnacentral:lncRNA from 1 species
ACCCGCGUUGUAGAAGGAGUCCAGCGCAGCGGUGUCGCCUAGCGCCAGCGUCGCAAAGGGUAGGCUGCGUAGCUGCGGGGGUGGCCGUGUGCCCUGGAGCUGAGCGCAGGCCUCGCGCAGGCAUCGCAACGGCAGCGGCUCUGCCUCGGUUCCCGACCCGGGCUCCACCCCGAGCCCCGGCUCCCGGGUCAGCACGUAGACCACACUGAGAGGCCGGCUCCGCGCGCAGCCCCGACCCGUGACCGCAGGAGACGAGCGGCCCCGGCUCAGCGCCUCCGCCAGCGGGUCCUGCCAGCAGCUGCCCGCCCGUUCUAGAACCCCGGCCCCAGGACAUGGCCCCGCCAUGCGGGGGCGCUCAAGCGCGGGGCCCCGGGCGCGGGGAACCCGGGACAGGGCACGAGGCUGAAGGUGUGGAUCCAGUCGGGAUCCGGAGAUGGGCUGGACGUCCUGUUCCGGAACUCUUAAGUCCAGAAAGACUUCUUUGCUCAAUCUUUCACGGUCCUUACAGAUCUGCAAUCCAGGACUGGGUUCUGGGAAUCUGGGGUACCCAGUAAUCCUCGGCUCACAGGUCACAGAAGAGUCCUGGGAAGUCAACCGGCAGCGUGCUACACCCAGACUUCUCAAGGGAGCGCUGGCAGUCACUCUGUCCUGCCCUCACAUGUAGGCUGGGCCCAGCCCUUUCCCGACUGGGAAAGGCUCCACCCUCGGCCCUGGGGCAAUGAGGCUCCCCAGCGGCUCUCCCUCCCUCCUCUCCGGCUAGAACCUCUGACACUGUCCACUUCCGGAACAGCCUGUGCCCCUAUUCGGGCCAAACACUGUUGACUGCUUACUGCAAGCGCUCGUAAGACGUGUGCCCAGCCCAGGGAUAGGAAACAGGACAGCCCCGCCCUGCAGGGACCUGGUAAAUGAAUGGACACUGGGCGGGGGAAGGACGGGGGAGCAAAACAUUGUGUAGGCGGCACAUGUAAUGUUCCUGCUGGUAGGGGUCAGAAUGUUGACAAGCGCUUUCCUCAGAGCCUCUCUUGCAGUGAAACCUUGUGGACCUUAUUGGUCCACCCGAAACUUGACCAUGGAGCUGAAAAGCACUUCUACGGUAAACUUCCUAUCUACCCUUUGAAGGAACUCCAGAAGUCUCCGCUUUUUGGGUUACAAGGUUAUCCCGGCUUCAAAUUCACCAAGAAGCUUUAACAUCAUAGUAUGAAUCUAAGUUGCUAUAAACCUUAGAGGGCCCUGAACUUAGAAAUGAGACUUUGAGACUCUGAGGUUAGGGCCAUGUUUCAUAAUCGUUUAUUAUGGUAGGGCUUGGGCAUGAGAGACAGCACAGCUGUAAAGACCACUUGCUGCUCUUUCAGAGGGCCCUGGUUUGGUUCCCAGCACCCACAUGGUGGCUCACCAUCAUCUGUAACUGUAGGCCCAGGGGAGUCCUGGCACUCUCCUGACCUGCAUAGGCGCCCAGCACAUACAUGGUGCACAUAUAUAAUUACAGGCAAAAGAUGCACAUGAAAUAAAACUAAAACUUUAUAAAAAU